CCUAAGCUACUUUUUAAUCAAAUCUGGUCGUAAAUCUUAAGGACGAAAGGCCAAGCUUGUUAAAAGUUGGAUAUAAGCUCUGUUUGCUUUUUAAAAGUAAAUAUGAAAUGCCAUUUGCAAACCAUUUUAAUUCUGGAAUUUCCGAGUGAAUGUUUUGAACUUUGAGCAGCACAUGGGCAGACAUUCCACGGGUGGACUCCAACAAGUUAGCCGGAUAUAUACAUGGUUGGGGAGUAACGGAAUACAAAGGUGCUGCAUUGAUGUUUCAAUAAACCCUCGACACCCGAGCCAUUUUCCCUGCUCUCGGUGGCCAGAUCAACAUAUUUUAGCUUCUUCCUCACUGCCUCCAAACCAACUUCCCAUGGGACAAGGCUGCUGAUCACAGUUUGGGAGCCAUCUCCCACCCAAGUCCAGCUCUUCCUGAUUGGGUUCUUCCAACAAUCUCUUAAUUCUUCAAUCUUGAAACCAGCCUGUUUACAACCUCCUCUGCCUUCCAGGUGCGGCUUGUUCGGACCUGGGCUUGACAAACCCUCACAGACUGAUCUGUUGAUUCCCUUUGUUCUAAGAACAGCCUGGUCUACUCCUGCUUGUAACCCAGGGUGAUUUUGAUUAGUUAAAAUUACUUUGAAUGUUCAGCCGGUUCCUGCCUCCUCCUUGCCAAUUUUUAACCUUGUAAAAUAUUUCUUUCUAUUUUUGUUUUUGUUUUUUAUUGCUGUUUUACUUCAGUUCUAUUUGAAUCUGCUAUGCUGCCAAUAAUAAAAAAAAAAGUCCUUACAUCAACAUUUCCCCCACACAGGAAAACACUGGCUGCAAUUCUCUACAAGGUAUUAUACAUAAACACAGUAUGAUAUAUACACAAUUAUCUUUGCUUAAGCUACACAGCUUAACUAGUGCACUCACAAUUUCUUUCUAACACUGCUUAUUUUUAAAUAUACAAGAGGACACAAUAUCCCCUGAGUAUUUCUGCACCAUACAAACUGAUUUUGCAUUCUAAUUAACUGCCGGAAUAAAUUGUAUUAAUUUACCAGGGAUUAGAUCUUGUAAGGUCUCACCCAAUAAGUCACUGCAGUGACAGUUUGUUUACUAUGAAGAAAUGAAUUCACUUGCUUCUGACUUUUCUCACCUUUGUAACAAGAGACAUAAAAUUGUAUUAUUAAACAGUUUUUUUGGUAGCUGAAUUACUGUACACCAACGAGGCAGUCCAGCAUUCAGAAUAGCAUUCUGAGAUACUAUUCUUCUCAUCACAAUUGUACAGAGCGGUUAUCUGAGUUACCGUAGACUUUGUCAGUUUGAACCAGUCUGGCCAUUCCCUGUUGAUCUCUCUCAUCAACAAGGUGUUUCCAUCUGCAGAACUGCCCCUCACUGGAUGUUCUUUUG